rnacentral:sRNA from 1 species
UAUUCUGAGGUCUAGGGGUAAUAUCCCAG